GAUGAACGCUGGCGGCGUGCUUAACACAUGCAAGUCGAACGAAGAUGCCGGAGUGCUUGCACUUUGGCAGACUGAGUGGCGGACGGGUGAGUAACGCGUGGGUAACCUGCCUUAUACAGGGGGAUAACAGUUGGAAACGACUGCUAAUACCGCAUAAGCGCACGGUAUCGCAUGAUACAGUGUGAAAAACUCCGGUGGUAUAAGAUGGACCCGCGUCUGAUUAGCUUGUUGGUGAGGUAACGGCCCACCAAGGCGACGAUCAGUAGCCGGCCUGAGAGGUGAACGGCACAUUGGGACUGAGACACGGCCCAAAACUCCUACGGGAGGCAGCAGUGGGGAAUAUUGCACAAUGGGGGAACCCUGAUGCAGCGACGCCGCGUGAGUGAUGAAGUAUUUCGGUAUGUAAAGCUCUAUCAGCAGGGAAGAAAAUGAACGGUACCUGACUAAGAAGNACCGGCUAAAUACGUG
rnacentral:rRNA from 1 species